rnacentral:piRNA from 1 species
UUUCAGAGAUUAAUGGACAGCCUGGU